GAUGAACGCUGGCGGCGUGCUUAACACAUGCAAGUCGAACGGAAAGGCCCAAGCUUGCUUGGGUACUCGAGUGGCGAACGGGUGAGUAACACGUGGGUGAUCUGCCCUGCACUUCGGGAUAAGCCUGGGAAACUGGGUCUGAUACCGGAUAGGACGAUGGUUUGGAUGCCAUUGUGGAAAGUUUUUUCGGUGUGGGAUGAGCUCGCGGCCUAUCAGCUUGUUGGUGGGGUAAUGGCCUACCAAGGCGUCGACGGGUAGCCGGCCUGAGAGGGUGUACGGCCACAUUGGGGCUGAGAUACGGCCCAGACUCCUACGGGAGGCAGCAGUGGGGAAUAUUGCACAAUGGGCGCAAGCCUGAUGCAGCGACGCCGCGUGGGGGAUGACGGCCUUCGGGUUGUAAACUCCUUUCGCUAGGGACGAAGCGUUUUUGUGACGGUACCUGGAGAAGAAGCACCGGCUAACUACGUG
rnacentral:rRNA from 1 species